AUUGAAUGCUGGCGGCAGGCUUAACACAUGCAAGUCGAGCGGGGUGAUGGUGCUUGCACUAUCACUUAGCGGCGGACGGGUGAGUAAUGCUUAGGAAUCUGCCUAUUAGUGGGGGACAACAUCUCGAAAGGGAUGCUAAUACCGCAUACGUCCUACGGGAGAAAGCAGGGGAUCACUUGUGACCUUGCGCUAAUAGAUGAGCCUAAGUCGGAUUUGCUAGUCGGUGGGGUAAAGGCCUACCAAGGCGACGAUCUGUAGCGGGUCUGAGAGGAUGAUGCGCCAAACUGGGACGGGGAAACGGCCCAGACUCCUACGGGAGGCAGCAGUGGGGAAUAUUGGACAAUGGGGGGAACCCUGAUCCAGCCAUGCCGCGUGUGUGAAGAAGGCCUUAUGGUUGUAAAGCACUUUAAGCGAGGAGGAGGCUCUUUUGGUUAAUACCCAAGAUGAGUGGACGUUACUCGCAGAAUAAGCACCGGCUAACUCUGUGCCAGCCGCCGCAGUAA
rnacentral:rRNA from 1 species